GUGGGGAAUAUUGGACAAUGGGGGGAACCCUGAUCCAGCCAUGCCGCGUGUGUGAAGAAGGCCUUUUGGUUGUAAAGCACUUUAAGCGAGGAGGAGGCUACCGAGAUUAAUACUCUUGGAUAGUGGACGUUACUCGCAGAAUAAGCACCGGCUAACUCUGUGCCAGCAGCCGCGGUAAUACAGAGGGUGCGAGCGUUAAUCGGAUUUACUGGGCGUAAAGCGUGCGUAGGCGGCUUUUUAAGUCGGAUGUGAAAUCCCCGAGCUUAACUUGGGAAUUGCAUUCGAUACUGGUUGGCUAGAGUAUGGGAGAGGAUGGUAGAAUUCCAGGUGUAGCGGUGAAAUGCGUAGAGAUCUGGAGGAAUACCGAUGGCGAAGGCAGCCAUCUGGCCUAAUACUGACACUGAGGUGCGAAAGCAUGGGGAGCAAACAGGAUUAGAUACCCCUGUAGUCC
rnacentral:rRNA from 1 species